GCAUCCCAAAUAAGAUAUUGAGCCCCACCAUUUUUGGGUUGUGAAAACCAAUUUGACCAACAUCCAUAGAAGCAGUUUUCUUCAAAUUGGACCAGGGUGUGUAAACAACAUCAAUGUUAUUCACCUUUUUGCCUUGGAUGGAAUUUGCUUUGACAAGCUGAACACAAUCCUCCAAUACACCUUCACUAAUAUCAUCAAUAGUCUGACCUUUGUGCAGUCUUAUAUAAACAUGGGCUGAAGACAUUUUAUCCACAUGGAACCUAGAAACAAACAGACAAACAAACAAACCCUACUAAGAUCAAAAGUGCAAUGUUGUACUAACUAACUUAGAAACCAGUAAUUAAUACACAAAAAUCAAAAAAACGAGAAUUAUUGCUGUGAAUAGGUAAUGAAAA